rnacentral:rRNA from 1 species
UACGAAGGGGGCUAGCGUUGUUCGGAGUUACUGGGCGUAAAGAGCGUGUAGGCGGUCAGGUAGGUCCGUUGUGAAAACUCGAGGCUCAACCUCGAGACGCCGAUGGAAACCAUCUGACUAGAGUCCGGAAGAGGAGAGUGGAAUUCCUGGUGUAGCGGUGAAAUGCGCAGAUAUCAGGAAGAACACCCGUGGCUAAGGCGGCUCUCUAGUACGGUACUGACGCUGAGACGCGAAAGCGUGGGGAGCGAACAGG